rnacentral:rRNA from 1 species
CACGGGGGGAGCAAGCGUUGUUCGGAAUCACUGGGCGUAAAGGGCGUGUAGGCGGUCAGGUAAGUGGAAUGUGAAAGCCCUCGGCUCACCCGAGGAUCUGCAUUCCAAACUGCCUGGCUUGAGUAUGGGAGAGGAUGAGGGAAUUCCUGGUGUAGCGGUGAAAUGCGUAGAUAUCGGGAGGAACACCGGUGGCGAAGGCGGUUCUCUGGGCCUGUACUGACGCUGAGGAGCGAAAGCGUGGGGAGCGAACAGGA